GUCCAGACUCCUACGGGAGGCAGCAGUGGGGAAUAUUGGACAAUGGGGGGAACCCUGAUCCAGCGACGCCGCGUGGGUGAAGAAGCGCCUCGGCGCGUAAAGCCCUGUCAGCAGGGAAGAAAAUGACGGUACCUGAAGAAGAAGCCCCGGCUAACUACGUGCCAGCAGCCGCGGUAAUACGUAGGGGGCAAGCGUUAUUCGGAUUUACUGGGUGUAAAGGGGGCGCAGACGGCGAUGCAAGCCAGGAGUGAAAGCCCGGGGCCCAACCCCGGGACUGCUCUUGGAACUGCGUGGCUGGAGUGCAGGAGGGGCAGGCGGAAUUCCUGGUGUAGCGGUGAGAUGCGUAGAUAUCAGGAGGAACACCGGUGGCGAAGGCGGCCUGCUGGACUGCAACUGACGUUGAGGCCCGAAAGCGUGGGGAGCAAACAGGAUUAGAUACCCCAGUA
rnacentral:rRNA from 1 species